rnacentral:lncRNA from 1 species
UAGAACAGUUUUUUUUACAGUUAUGAUUUAAAUGAUAUAUUGUGUUAGCGACAAUCGCUCACAUAUCUUGUAGGUUAUUAUCAAUUAUUGAUACAUUGUUAUCGUAUAGGUUUAUUGUCAAUUAUUGAUGCAUUGUUGAGUGUAAUUGUGGACAUGUGGGGGACUUUCCUUGAUAUCAAUCUUAGAUGGUAAGUGAAAACCCACCAACUUAAUUCUUUGUGAACAAGCGUACGGCAACAAUAUUAAUGGACUUUAGUUAUUUUGGCUACUUUCC